ensembl:lincRNA
CUCUUACUUUUGAUGUUCCUUCUCAAGCCUUUAUUAACUUUUUAAAAUCAGUGUAUCUCUGAUGACCUGAGCUGACACAAGUUGGCAACUGGGGAGCACACCCAGCUUCCCAUACCCCAGGGUGCCGCCUAGAAGGACAUUGCCAUUUCGUUUCUGCAAUGGUGCAAUGUAAAGGACAGAGAAGGCAAUGGCACCCCACUCCAGUACUCUUGCCUGGAAAAUCCCAUGGACGGAGGAGCCUGGCGGGCUGCAGUCCAUGGGGUAGCUGGGAGUCAGACACGACUGAGCGACUUCACUUUCACUUUUCACUUUCAUGCAUCGAAGGAAAUGGCAAUCCACUCCAGUAUUCUUGCCUGAAGGAUCCCAGGGAUGCGGGAGCCUGGUGGGCUGCCAUCUAUGGGGUCGCACAGAGUCGGACAUGACUGAAGCGACUUAGCAGCAGCAGCAGCAGCAAUGGAAAAGAAGGGACUCUUGUGGGCUCAACAUAUGACCUGGGGCUGCAAUGCUUCCAUGAAACCUGAGAGCCUUGAUCACUCAUUGGACGGCAGUCAUGCCAAUCCUUGCCUCCUGGCAAAUGAGCUUAGAGCUGGCACUGGAGGAAGUGGUCCCGGUUGACCCUUCCAGCUCCACCUACCGUCGCCAGCCCAUCAGGGCCUUUCCCGCCUCCAGCUCAGCUUCGGACUUGGUGGGCGGGUGUGCGGGCCAUCCCCUCACCAUUCCUAUUGUGGGGCCCACACCAGCAGCUCGCAGACUCCUGUUCCCUGUGCAGCCGACGUCUCUGCUGUCCCCACCCCCACCCUGCAGUCCCGCGGCCAACAGCGUCUCCUCAGCGCGACACUCAGCGGCCGCCAUCUUCCCCGCAGACAUCACUGCAGGACGAUCCCUGUCUGGCACGUCUCUCCUGCCAUGUCUGCCACAGAGGAGCACGACUGGAUCCCGGGUGGCCCGGAUAGAUCUGGUGGCGGGGCGGGCCGCGACCCCAGUCUCCUUGGGGUCCAAGCAUCUGCUUCGGAGGGGAUGGAAGGAGUCGAGGAGGCCACGGCUCUUCUGGCCUCCUUGGAGGUCUCCAGUGCCCGUCCCGGGGAGCAGGGUUUGCCUCAGGCCGCAGUGGGAGAGGAGUGUGGUAGAGAGCCGUUAGAGGAGGAGAAGAUGGAGGAAGAUGUAGAGGCGAUGGAGGAGGACGAGGAAGAGGGUGAGAUUGAUUUCGAGGUGGAAGUCGUGGAGGAGGAGGCGCCUCUGUCUGGAGAGGGCGAGGAAGAGGAAGAUGAGAAUGAGCAGGAGGGUGCGGCAGCGGUUACAGGCCUUGGGUUCUCUGUGGAGACAUUUGGGCCCCUGUUCUGGAGUCAGGUCGACUCCAUUCUACGCAAUUUCCAUACCAACACACAUGUCCUGUUCUGGCCUCCCACUGACGGCCUGAUGGCCGGGGGCUGCUCCCCGCCACCCUCGGACCCUGGAGAAGGUCCGGUGCCUCCUCAGGAGCGGGAAGACCUGGGAGAGGGAGACAGAGGCUUGCAGGGCCUAGACUCUGCUGCUGAUUUUCAGUUGGGAUAUUUUCCCUGCCAACUUUUGACCCCAAUGUCUGCAUCAUUCUGCCCUAAUGAUGAGGGUGAGGAUCAGGAUGAAAAGGCUGAUGAAGAGGAAGAGGAUGAAAAUGAAAAACCUGAAGGACUCUAAAUGGAUGUGGUCUCAGCAAAGAGCAGCUCUGGAUAAUACAGGUAUUAUUGCAUAGGCUUUAGUAUGACAUAACCAUUCCUGACACAUACCUCUUACUAACAGCUUUAUAGUUUUAAAUUUUUCUUCUGUAAAGUAAAUAAGAAAAUGGUUGAAAUUAAUUUUGGAAAAAGAGUUUAUUGUUAAUAAUGUAUUCUAGAUAAUGUAGGAGGCAGUAUGUUCUGAAGUGUAUUUCAUUUAGAGCCACAAGUCCUUUGUCCUGUAGCUUUAAGUCUACUGCAGAUAGGAACUCUAUCAGACCUGGAAAUGGAGACCAGUGCUUCUCUAGAAAAGAGUCACCAGAAGCAGCAGCUAAAGUGACUAGGCCAUGCAUUAGCUGUGUCAUCAUCACCUGGCCACAGAAUUGUAGUCUCUUGUACUGACAGUGAC